GCUUCUGUGGGCUGUAGCAAUGAAUCAGAGCAACACAGUCUUCAAUUAAGAUGGACCUAUGGCACUAAAAACUUCUCAUACUAGACUGAAGAGGAUGACAAUACAGCAGUGAACCCAAACACAACAAGAUGGACAGCUGAGUGGAAGCGUGAUGAACAGCAGAAAAUCCAAAGAAUGUAUGAUGUUUGAGGGAUGUAAGAAAAGAAAAAACAGUGUCCUAAUGCUCAGACAUACACAGUGUAAAUAAUAUACUGCUCUGAACAGGA